AUUGAACGCUGGCGGCAUGCUUUACACAUGCAAGUCGAACGGUAACAGGCCGCAAGGUGCUGACGAGUGGCGAACGGGUGAGUAAUGCAUCGGAACGUGCCCAUUCGUGGGGGAUAACUGCUCGAAAGAGCAGCUAAUACCGCAUACGAUCUAUGGAUGAAAGCGGGGGACCGAAAGGCCUCGCGCGAUUGGAGCGGCCGAUGUCAGAUUAGGUAAUUGCUGGGGUAAAGGCCCACCAAGCCAACGAUCUGUAGCUGGUCUGAGAGGACGACCAGCCACACUGGGACUGAGACACGGCCCAGACUCCUACGGGAGGCAGCAGUGGGGAAUUUUGGACAAUGUGCGCAAGCCUGAUCCAGCAAUGCCGCGUGCAGGAAGAAGGCCUUCGGGUUGUAAACUGCUUUUGUACGGAACGAAACGGUCCGGGUUAAUACCCUGGGCUAAUGACGGUACCGUAAGAAUAAGCACCGGCUAACUACGUGCCAGCAGCCGCCGUAACAC
rnacentral:rRNA from 1 species